GUAAAAAAAAUAAGAGACAUACAUUAUCACUGCGGUUAGCCGUCAGUUUGUGUUUCUUAAAAAGUUUAAACUUCAUUAACGCUUAGCCAGCGCACUGUGGUUGUAUCUUGAAAGCGUUCUGGUGAGGCAGACUGAUGAGUUUUAUAAAAGUUCGGACGUUGCCGUUUCAAUUGUUUCGAAUUAAAAGCACACACCUGUUUGGAAGUAGAUGGGGCGUCUUUCAGAAGCACCGGUUCCAUUUGCAGAGUUUCCUCAUCGACUCCCGGGUCAAAGGUCAAAGGUGUUAUUUGUCGGUACCUGUGCAAAGAAUAUGCUAAUCCAUAUACAAAAAAAACUAUAGUAAUAUAUAAAUCUACAGUGAUUUUUACGGAUGUUCCGUUAUAACUACUGAACCAUACAUCCGAUUGACUUGAAGCUUGGUAUCCAUGUAGAAAAUACAUGUACAUAAUAGAUAGGCUAAUAUUUAUAUGAGUGUUGGACUCCCUAAUAAUAAUGAUAAUAAAUAAUAAUGUUAAUUUUAAAUGCCCAGCGAAGCGGGCGAGUACGGCUAGUAAAGGAUAAAAUUAUAAUUAAUAAAUUAAUUAAAAAAAAGGGCUUCAAAAUGGUCAUAUCUACAUCGAUUAUUAGAAUAGUUGAAAUCGUUGAAUAAUUAUUAUAACAUUAGACUCUAAUGGCGUUAUCUCUUUUAAUACACGAAUAUAUGGAAUUGAAACAAG